rnacentral:lncRNA from 1 species
CUUGCACUGACCCUCACUUGUUCACGGUGCCCAGUCUCCUUGUGGUCACGGAUUCGGUUAGUCAUAUCUUCACAUUCACAAGCGAGGUGGACCAUACUUCCCUUGCUGUCUUCACACCGUGGCCACCCCACCUGGGCUGCUCCCCUGACAGCCUAGCGUGACAGGAGACCUCUCCCCACCCUGCGGUGCUGUCUCCUGUUCUUCCUGCCCUUCCUCCUCCUCAGUCUCCGGUCAUGGCUGUUAGACCUACGUGAUCUGAAGCUCCCUCUGCUCACCCCCUGUUCUUUCGCCCCGUGUUAGGGUUGAGUUGUGCUGAAGUCCUGAUGUCCAGGCCUCAGAAGGUGACAUUUGGAAAUAGGGUCAUUGCAUAUGUGAUCUGUUAAGCUGCGGUGAGGCUGUACUAGAGGAAGGUGGGUCCCCAGCCCAGUGUGACUGUGCCCUUAUAAGAAGGGAAAAUAUGGACGCCGACAUGCACAUGGGGAGAAAACCACGUGAGACAGAGGCAGACGAUGGGGUGAUGCAUCUACAAAGCCACGCAAAGAUUCCCAGGCACUGGAAGAGAAGUCGAACAUUCUUCCUCACAGCUCCCAAAGGAGCCACGCCCCCUGGCACCUUGAUCCUGGACUCCCAGCCUCCAGAACUCUGAGACAGAUCAUGCUUUCUAUUGUGUGGGCCUCCGGUUCAUGGCAUUUCGUCACAGCGGCCUGAGCAAACUAACACACUCUCCAUGCGUCACACACGCCUCUGGUCCCUUCCUGGCGUCCACUUUCUGAGGACCUAUGCAGACGCACCGGGACCCCAUGUGACAGUGGAGUGGAGGACACUCGCAGGGUGGCCCAGCGAACAUCCACACAGAAGUAUAAACAGAUCUGCAGGAGGCGGGUCGAAGGCUUUCUCAACAGUGGGCCAGUGGUUUCGGGGAGACGAGUGUCGGCUAACGGCACAGGCGUGCUUUCUGCCGGUUGCGAGAUGUGAGGUCGUGACGUAACGGCCACUCGUUUAUGUCCACGAGGGUCCUCGGUGAGACGCGCGUUGUUCCGCUUGGUCUUCUGCCGGAUCAGCCUGAACAGUUUCCCCGGUCCUCCUGCAGGUGCUCCGUGUCCAAACCUGGCAUGGGCUCAAGGUCAGGGCACGUGAGCCAGAGCCCUGGGCGCCCACGGGACUGGGCUUCCCUGCGACUGUGGAGCUCAGCCCUCAGGCGGUGGCCGCCCAUCCAGUGGCCUGUGCGUCACCGCUAGGGGCUGUCCGGGUGGGUGUGGCGGCAUCAUCA